UACGUAGGGUGCGAUCGUUGUCCGGAUUUAUUGGGCGUAAAGAGCUCGUAGGCGGUUUGUCGCGUCGGCCGUGAAAUCUCCACGCUUAACGUGGAGCGUGCGGUCGAUACGGGCAGACUUGAGUUCGGUAGGGGAGACUGGAAUUCCUGGUGUAGCGGUGAAAUGCGCAGAUAUCAGGAGGAACACCGGUGGCGAAGGCGGGUCUCUGGGCCGAUACUGACGCUGAGGAGCGAAAGCGUGGGGAGCGAACAGG
rnacentral:rRNA from 1 species